rnacentral:rRNA from 1 species
AUACGGAGGGUGCAAGCGUUACUCGGAAUCACUGGGCGUAAAGCGCGCGCAGGCGGGCUGAUAAGUUGGAUGUGAAAGCCUACGGCUCAACCGUAGAACUGCAUCCAAAACUGUCAGUCUAGAGUGUGGGAGAGGAAGAUGGAAUUAGUUGUGUAGGGUAAAAUCCGUAGAGAUAACUAGGAAUACCAAAAGCGAAGGCAAUCUUCUGGAACACUACUGACGCUGAGGCGCGAAGGCGUGGGGAGCAAACAGGAUUAGAUACCCCAGUAGUCC